rnacentral:misc_RNA from 1 species
AAUUCUCAACCUUACUAGCUUUGCUGGUCUGGCUUGGAUAUGGAGGUUUAUGCAGGCUCUCGAGUCAGCUCCUCUGAAAUGCAUUAGCGGUACCUCUGUGGUAUAACAGCUAUUGGUGUGAUAACUAUCUACGCCAUUAGUCAGUGCCACGCAUAUAAAGGGGCUAUGCUGCUGUCUAACUGUCUACUUGCUAGACAAUACUUGACAA